rnacentral:rRNA from 1 species
GAUCUAGCCAUGGGCAGGUUGAAGGUUGGGUAACACUAACUGGAGGACCGAACCGACUAAUGUUGAAAAAUUAGCGGAUGACUUGUGGCUGGGGGUGAAAGGCCAAUCAAACCGGGAGAUAGCUGGUUCUCCCCGAAAGCUAUUUAGGUAGCGCCUCGUGAAUUCAUCUCCGGGGGUAGAGCACUGUUUCGGCAAGGGGGUCAUCCCGACUUACCAACCCGAUGCAAACUGCGAAUACCGGAGAAUGUUAUCACGGGAGACACACGGCGGGUGCUAACGUCCGUCGUGAAGAGGGAAACAACCCAGACCGCCAGCUAAGGUCCCAAAGUCAUGGUUAAGUGGGAAACGAUGUGGGAAGGCCCAGACAGCCAGGAUGUUGGCUUAGAAGCAGCCAUCAUUUAAAGAAAGCGUAAUAGCUCACUGGUCGAGUCGGCCUGCGCGGAAGAUGUAACGGGGCUAAACCAUG